rnacentral:lncRNA from 1 species
GGCCAUCAUUAUUCUCAAUAACAAUACCAUCAUCCACUGUUGAAAUCAAAAUCUGGUGGCCCUGUCCGCCCUUAGCUCCCCUUCAUUCAUGGCUUUAGCACCAACACUAAGUGGUAGUGGGUCAACUCCCUCCACCUCCUCUGAUUUGAUUCUGAUUUUCAAAUUUCCAACCUUUAUUUUUUGGUGAAUUGAAAGCCUCCGAUUCAAGUUGAUCGGAGGCAUACCAAACACGAUGCCUAAAGAUAGCUAUGGAGGUCAUAGGUUUGUGACGGUUCAGGAUCAUCAAAAAUAACUAGAGGGUUCAUAAUAUAUUAGAUGUUGGUAAUGUUACCAAAAAUGAUGGAAUGAAUGGUGCUCAUCUCCAACAGAAUUUGUCUUGAAGGAGUAGGGUCUCAUUGUCGG